GGGCUCAAUUUGGCAACACAAAGACUAAAAUCAGAAUAAUACAGAGAAGAUUAGCAUGGCCCCUGUGCAAGGAUGACACACACGUUUUUGAAGUAUUUUAUUUGUAC